UGAAUACGAGAUGCUACGGCGUCGAAGCAGUGUAUGUCAUACUUCCAAGAAAAGCUCGCUAUGUCAUAAACAAUUAAUGCCUGUGCCAUAACCGACACAGGUGGGUAGGUAGAGUAUACUAAGGGGCGCGAGAUAACUCUCUCUAAGGAACUCGGCAAAAUGACUCCGUAACUUCGGGAGAAGGAGUACCUUAUUUAUAAGGUUGCAAUAACAAGAUCCAAGCAACUGUUUACCAAAAACACAGGUCUCCGCUAAGUCGUAAGACGAUGUAUGGGGGCUGACGCCUGCCCAGUGCCAGAAGGUUAAAGAAGUUGGUUAGCAUUCGCGAAGCUGAUGACUGAAGCCCUGGUGAACGGCGGCCGUAACAAUAACGGUCCUAAGGUAGCGAAAUUCCUUGUCGGGUAAGUUCCGUCCCGCACGAAAGGCGUAAUGAUUUGGAUACUGUCUUGAGAGGGGCUCGGUGAAAUAGACUUGUCUGUGAAGAUGCGGACUACCUGCACCAGGACAGAAAGACCCUAUGAAGCUUUACUGUAACUUGAGAUUGAAAUUGGACUUUAUUUGUGCAGUAUAGGUGGGAGGCGUUGAAGAAAUUCUUGCGGGAAUUUUGGAGCCAUCAGUGAGAUACCACCCCUAUAAUGUUAGAUUUCUAACUUUGUAUCAUUAUCUGGUCAAAGAACAGUUUCAGGCGGGCAGUUUGACUGGGGCGGUCGCCUCCCAAAUGGUAACGGAGGCGUACAAAGGUUUCCUCUGAACGGGUAGAAAUCGUAUCUAGAGUAUAAAGGCAUAAGGAAGCUUGACUGUGAGACCUACAAGUCGAGCAGGGACGAAAGUCGGUCUUAGUGAUCUGACGGUGCUGAGUGGAAAGGCCGUCACUCAACGGAUAAAAGUUACUCUAAGGAUAACAGGCUGAUCUCCCCCAAGAGUUCACAUCGACGGGGAGGUUUGGCACCUCGAUGUCGGCUCAUCGCAUCCUGGGGCGGUAGUACGUCCCAAGGGUUGGGCUGUUCGCCCAUGAAAGCGGUACGCGAGCUGGGUUCAGAACGUCGUGAGACAGUUCGGUCCAUAUCCGGUGUAGGCGUUAGAAUAUUGAGAGGAGCCUUCUUUAGUACGAGAGGACCGAGAAGGACAUACCUCUGGUGUACCAGUUAUCGUGCCAACGGUAAACGCUGGGUAGCUAUGUAUGGAGUGGAUAACCGCUGAAAGCAUCUAAGUGGGAAGCCCACCUCAAGAUAAG
rnacentral:rRNA from 1 species